rnacentral:rRNA from 1 species
GAUGAACGCUGGCGGCGUGCCUAAUACAUGCAAGUCGAGCGAACGGACGAGAAGCUUGCUUUUCUGAUGUUAGCGGCGGACGGGUGAGUAACACGUGGAUAACCUACCUAUAAGACUGGGAUAACUUCGGGAAACCGGAGCUAAUACCGGAUAAUAUUUUGAACCGCAUGGUUCAAAAGUGAAAGACGGUCUUGCUGUCACUUAUAGAUGGAUCCGCACUGCAUUAGCUAGUUGGUAAGGUAACGGCUUACCAAGGCAACGAUGCAUAGCCGACCUGAGAGGGUGAUCGGCCACACUGGAACUGAGACACGGUCCAGACUCCUACGGGAGGCAGCAGUAGGGAAUCUUCCGCAAAGGGCGAAAGCCUGACGGAGCAACGCCGCGUGAGUGAUGAAGGUCUUCGGAUCGUAAAACUCUGUUAUUAGGGAAGAACAUAUGUGUAAGUAACUGUGCACAUCUUGACGGUACCUAAUCAGAAAGCCACGGCUAACUACGUG